GCUGUUCACAUCUGGGAGACUCAGGCGUAAACAAUCGAUCCUGGCCAAAAUCGAACCAACGCCCAGCCAAUCACGUGGCGCUCCUCCGGUCAUGUGACGUAGACGGUUCACCUCACAAGACCGGGGUCAACCACGGCUACCAGCAUGAACGACGGCGCUUCAAUGCACAAUGAGGGACGUCUGCAGAGACUGAGAAAGAGUCUCACCACAUCCUGACAUGAGGAAAAAGACUUUAUUGAAGACUACAAUGAGAAAAACUAUCAGACAGCAGACGGCUGCAUUCAAGUCUGUAGCUGCUGAAUUCAUGGAUGAAUCAUCUGGCACUAGAGAGGAAGACCAUCAAACAUCCACGUCAGCUGAUGGAGGUCCAAGAGUCUCACCAAACAACCAACCUACAGAGUGAAGACCUCAAAUCUGAUUGGACGGCCUCCUAUUCAGCCACAUGUGUGAACAAAUGCCUCUAAGCUGAUUUGUUUUCUAAAAUAAAUCUAGUUUGAGUCCUAA